rnacentral:tRNA from 1 species
GUAGCUCAGUUGGCAGAGUACUUGCCUGGUAUGCAGGAAGCCCUGGGUUUGAUUCCCAGC